rnacentral:rRNA from 1 species
UGGGGAAUAUUGGACAAUGGGCGCAAGCCUGAUCCAGCCAUGCCGCGUGAGUGAUGAAGGCCCUAGGGUUGUAAAGCUCUUUCACCGGUGAAGAUAAUGACGGUAACCGGAGAAGAAGCCCCGGCUAACUUCGUGCCAGCAGCCGCGGUAAUACGAAGGGGGCUAGCGUUGUUCGGAUUUACUGGGCGUAAAGCGCACGUAGGCGGACUUUUAAGUCAGGGGUGAAAUCCCGGGGCUCAACCCCGGAACUGCCUUUGAUACUGGAAGUCUUGAGUAUGGUAGAGGUGAGUGGAAUUCCGGGUGUAGAGGUGAAAUACGUAGAUAUUCGGAGGAACACCAGUGGCGAAGGCGGCUCACUGGACCAUUACUGACGCUGAGGUGCGAAAGCGUGGGGAGCAAACAGG